CAAAGCUCACUCUCGUAAUGAACAUUACAAACUUCGGAAAUAUUUUCUUAUUUUAUUUAAUAUCUGCUACCUUAUAGUGCUUGUGACGAGUGAAGAAUUCGUUUCAUAGCGAUGCACCGGGGAAAUUAUUUACAACAUUAACUUAUUGCUGAUAUGUAACCCCAAUCGACAUUCCGUAAACCCUGACACUGAGGCCCGAUACAGGUAACCGCCAAGUUGGGGGUUAGGGUGCGUACACCCCCUUAGCACUCGCCCUCCCUCGUACCGCGUUAUCAGAGUAAUGU